CAAAUUGCAGGUUGAAGGCUUGAUGGUAACUAGGAGGAAAUUUGGGCCUUUUUUUGUCUCUAUUUUUUUGGAUUAAUGUUUACGUUUGGUUGAGGGGCGGCCCAUUGGAAAGGCCCGUACUGGCACAGGGGUCGGGCUGGGGUCUCUCCCACCGAACGAAAUUGUUCGUUAGAUUCCUCACCCCUCAGCGAACGACUCGUUCGGAACGGAAUUUUCCCAGACCGAACGGUUGGGAGAUAUCGGGGUCCUACAUUUUACUCCCUCUGUUCUUAAAUAUAAGUCUUUGUAGACAUUUUAAAUGAAAUAUAAUAUACGGAUGCAUGUAGACAUAUUUUAGUGUGUAGAUUCACUUAUUUUGCUCCGUAUGUAGUCACCUGUUGAAAUCUCUAGAAAGACUUAUAUUUGGAAACGGAGGGAGUAUGAGUUAAAUUUACGGAUUCUAUAAAUCCCGAACGUCAGGGAUUUAAGAAUUUCAGUCCGAACGUGUUUUCUAUCAUUAGAUCCUUUACACGAAUCUUAGAGAGAGAAGAUUAUCCAGGUCAGCGUUUUCGUUCGGGGGAAACUGGGUGUCGUCGCGAACGCCUCCGGCCGCACGUCUCUUAUCCAUCCACCGCAUCGUCACUCUGCAGACCCCCGCCACUCUCUCGCCCUCUCCUUCUUCGUCCCCCACCACUCACGACGUCGUUGCCGGCGACGAGGCCAGACGACCGUUGAUCCGGGAACAAGGGCGGCGCACCCUGCAGCAGCUGCCCCUCGUCGCGCCGCACGUGGAGUUGCUUCGCCCGCGUCGUACGCGCGAGCAGGAGCACCAGGAGCCGCCCCGGACGCACUUCGACGGGCACCUCUCCGUCGCGGUUGUCUCCGUCGCGCCGCGCGUGGAGGUGCUCCGUCGGCCCGCAUAGGCCGCGCAAGCAGGAGCACCUUGCCAGGGGCCGCCCGGGCCGUGCAUCGAUGGGCAGCUCGUCGUCGUGGCUGCCCCGUCGCGUCGUGCGUGGACGGCGAUCCGUGUCGUCACACGAGAAGGAGCACCAGGCGCCGCCCCAGCCGCACACAUCGACGGGCACCUCGCCGUCGCGGCUGUCCUCGUCGCGCCGUGCGUGGAGGUCACCCGUCGGCCCGCAUCAGUCGCGCAAUCAGGAGCACCAGGGGUCGCCCCAGCCGUGAAUGGAUGGGCAGCUCGCCGUGCUGGCUGCCCCGUCGCGUCGCGCGUGGACUGGUCGUGCGAACAGGAGCGCCAGCUGCGAAUGGUUGGGGCGACAGCUAAGCGCGGUCGCUGAGGGGAGCCGACGGCUAUAGAGGACAUCGAGCUGCGGUGGCAGGUACUCCCGCUUCUGCUCUGAGUGAAUAAACGGCAUCGUGAGCCGGCGACCCCUCCAUCUGGUGCAAGCUCUAGACCAUGGCAAUUUCUUGACGCCCACGGCAAUUUAUAUUUGAACAAAUUUCAAUAUUUUCGUGCAACCAUGGCAAUUUAUUUCCCAUAGCAUGGCAAUUUUUUUUUAUUUUUUGUACAUCAUGAAAUUUUUGCUAGUUGCCAUCUAUCAUGGCAUUUUUCUUUUUCUGUAGGUACUGUGUGGUAGCCUCAACAAUUAUAACAAUUGAUGGCAAUUUCUAGAUUUUUGUGGCAUUUUUAUUGUACA